rnacentral:rRNA from 1 species
CGUAGGGGCCAAGCGUUGUUCGGAUUUACUGGGCGUAAAGGGCGCGUAGGCGGCGAAUCAAGUCAGCUGUGAAAUCUCCGAGCUUAACUCGGAACGGUCAGCUGAUACUGUUUUGCUAGAGUGCAGAAAGGGCAACCGGAAUUCUUGGUGUAGCGGUGAAAUGCGUAGAUAUCAAGAGGAACACCUGAGGCGAAGGCGGGUUGCUAGGCUGACACCGACGCUGAAGCGCGAAAGCUAGGGUAGCAAACGGGAUUAGAUACCCCGGUAGUCCUAGCCCUAAACGAUGUAUGCUUGGUGUCUGGAGUUUUUAUCUCUGGGUGCCGUCGCUAACGCUUUUAGCAUACCGCCUGGGGAGUACGCACGCAAGUGUG